rnacentral:rRNA from 1 species
AGGGGGAGUAUGGUCACAAGGCUGAAACUUAAAGGAAUUGACGGAAGGGCACACCAGGAGUGGAGCCUGCGGCUUAAUUUGACUCAACACGGGAAAACUUACCAAGACCGAACAGUAGAAGGAAUGACAGAUUAAGAGUUCUUUCAUGAUUUAUUGGGUAGUGGUGCAUGGCCGUUCUUAGUUGGUGGAGUGAUUUGUCAGGUUAAUUCCGGUAACGAACGAGACUGAAACCUAUUAAUUAGUUUUCUGCCUAUAAGACAGAAAUGUUCGCAAGAACAGGUGCGUAAGUACCACUUCUUAAAGGGACACAUUUCAAUUGUCCUAUUUUAAUUGUAGUUAUCUAAUUUCGGUA